GAUGAACGCUGGCGGCGUGCCUAAUACAUGCAAGUCGAGCGAACAGACGAGGAGCUUGCUCCUCUGACGUUAGCGGCGGACGGGUGAGUAACACGUGGAUAACCUGCCUAUAAGACUGGGAUAACUUCGGGAAACCGGAGCUAAUACCGGAUAAUAUAUUGAACCGCAUGGUUCAAUAGUGAAAGACGGUUUUGCUGUCACUUAUAGAUGGAUCCGCGCCGCAUUAGCUAGUUGGUAAGGUAACGGCUUACCAAGGCGACGAUGCGUAGCCGACCUGAGAGGGUGAUCGGCCACACUGGAACUGGGACACGGUCCAGACUCCGACGGGAGGCAGCAGGAGGGAAUCUUCCGCAAUGGGCGAAAGCCUGACGGAGCAACGCCGCGUGAGUGAUGAAGGUCUUCGGAUCGUAAAACUCUGUAUUAGGGAAGAACAAAUGUGUAAGUAACUAUGCACGUCUUGACGGUACCUAAUCAGAAAGCCACGGCUAACUACGUG
rnacentral:rRNA from 1 species